rnacentral:misc_RNA from 1 species
CAUAAAUUCACGUUCUCCAUCCUUUCUCAGUGUUACAAAUGCUAAAGCAGUGCGAGCACCUGGAUCAAAUCGCAUACCAUCACUGUUGACAUUGUUCUCCUUCAAAAUCUCAGCAAGCAUGUAACCAAAUUCGUCUUCACCAACCUUGCCAAUGAAAGCUGAUGAACCACCAAGACGGGAAAUACCAACAGCAACAUUAGCUGGUGCACCACCAGGAGCCUUUUUAAAUGCAGGAGCUUCAGCCAAUGAAAGCCCACUUGUAGUCGGAACAAAAUCAAUGAGCAUUUCUCCAAAGCACACAACAAGAGAAGAUUCAUCCUUCUCCACUAGCCCAUUGUCACUUGGCAAUGCUCUUCCUUGGAUUUUACAUCGAGGAAAGCUGUGCGGAUACUGGGAAGUUGCUUUGACAGUGCAUCUUCUAGGAAGAGGAAAGACUGAAAGCAAAGCGCUUCUGGAAGAUUUACUUGAAGUAGAAACUCCAGUGAAGGAGAAAGCAGUAGCAUGAAGAGCCAUUUAUUAGAAAGUAAAAAAAACAGAGGAACUGAUCUGAUCUGAGAAACUCGUAUUUCACAAUUAAAACCUAAAAUACAGUUACAUCAGGCGUCAAAAUUUCAGCAACUAAAAUGGAAAUUAGGAGAAGGUAUUGGAGCAAUCGUUGUAAAACUAGUAAUUUUCAGGCAAUAAACCCUAAUUUUGAAGCAAUUCUUUCUGUUGGGGAAAAUAG